rnacentral:rRNA from 1 species
CCUACGGGGGGCUGCAGUGGGGAAUAUUGGACAAUGGGCGAAAGCCUGAUCCAGCCAUGCCGCGUGUGUGAAGAAGGCCUUCGGGUUGUAAAGCACUUUCAGUGGGGAAGAAAGCCUUGGGGCUAAUACCCUCGAGGAAGGACAUCACCCACAGAAGAAGCACCGGCUAACUCCGUGCCAGCAGCCGCGGUAAUACGGAGGGUGCGAGCGUUAAUCGGAAUUACUGGGCGUAAAGCGCGCGUAGGCGGUCUGAUAAGCCGGUUGUGAAAGCCCCGGGCUCAACCUGGGAACGGCAUCUGGAACUGUCAGGCUAGAGUGCAGGAGAGGAAGGUAGAAUGCACGGUGUAGCGGUGAAAUGCGAAGAGAUCGGGAGGAAUACCAGUGGCGAAGGCGGCCUUCUGGACUGACACUGACGCUGAGGUGCGAAAGCGUGGGUAGCAAACAGGAUUAGAUACCCGUGUAGUC